GGUUCCGUAGCUCAGCUGGUAGAGCGCUUGCUGCGUUAAAGCAUGGCGUUUCCGCCGCCGGUUCGAAUCCGCCGCAACCC